CCCCGGCCUGCCGUUGAAACUGUCCUGCUAGAGUUCGAGUGAGGUAUGCGGAAUGCGUUGUGUAGCGGUGAAAUGCAUAGAUAUGACGCAGAACUCCGAUUGCGAAGGCAGCAUACCAACUCGCGACUGACGCUGAGGCUCGAAAGCGUGGGUAUCGAACAGGAUUAGAUACCCUGGUAGUCCACGCAGUAAACGAUGAAUACUAACUGUUCGGAGGGCGACCUCUGAGUGGUAAAGCGAAAGCGUUAAGUAUUCCACCUGGGGAGUACGCCGGCAACGGUGAAACUCAAAGGAAUUGACGGGGGCCCGCACAAGCGGAGGAACAUGUGGUUUAAUUCGAUGAUACGCGAGGAACCUUACCCGGGCUCAAACGUCGGGCGAAUCAUCCUGAAAGGGAUGAGCCAGCAAUGGCGGCCGACGAGGUGCUGCAUGGUUGUCGUCAGCUCGUGCCGUGAGGUGUCGGCUUAAGUGCCAUAACGAGCGCAACCCCCGCGUCCAGUUGCCAGCGAGUAGAGUCGGGCACUCUGGACGGACUGCCGGCGCAAGCCGCGAGGAAGGCGGGGAUGACGUCAAAUCAGCACGGCCCUUACGUCCGGGGCGACACACGUGUUACAAUGGCGUGGAACAGAGGGAAGCCACCUGGCGACAGGGAGCGGAACCCGAAAACACGUCUCAGUUCGGAUUGGAGUCUGCAACUCGACUCCAUGAAGCUGGAUUCGCUAGUAAUCGCGCAUCAGCCAUGGCGCG
rnacentral:rRNA from 1 species